AGCUCGUAGGCGGUUUGUCGCGUCUGCUGUGAAAUCCCGGGGCUCAACCUCGGGCUUGCAGUGGGUACGGGCAGACUAGAGUGCGGUAGGGGAGAUUGGAAUUCCUGGUGUAGCGGUGGAAUGCGCAGAUAUCAGGAGGAACACCGAUGGCGAAGGCAGAUCUCUGGGCCGUAACUGACGCUGAGGAGCGAAAGCAUGGGGAGCGAACAGGAUUAGAUACCCUGGUAGUCCAUGCCGUAAACGUUGGGCGCUAGAUGUAGGGACCUUUCCACGGUUUCUGUGUCGUAGCUAACGCAUUAAGCGCCCCGCCUGGGGAGUACGGCCGCAAGGCUAAAACUCAAAGGAAUUGACGGGGGCCCGCACAAGCGGCGGAGCAUGCGGAUUAAUUCGAUGCAACGCGAAGAACCUUACCAAGGCUUGACAUACACCGGAAACGGCCAGAGAUGGUCGCCCCCUUGUGGUCGGUGUACAGGUGGUGCAUGGUUGUCGUCAGCUCGUGUCGUGAGAUGUUGGGUUAAGUCCCGCAACGAGCGCAACCCUCGUUCUAUGUUGCCAGCGCGUUAUGGCGGGGACUCAUAGGAGACUGCCGGGGUCAACUCGGAGGAAGGUGGGGAUGACGUCAAAUCAUCAUGCCCCUUAUGUCUUGGGCUUCACGCAUGCUACAAUGGCCGGUACAAAGGGCUGCGAUACCGUAAGGUGGAGCGAAUCCCAAAAAGCCGGUCUCAGUUCGGAUUGAGGUCUGCAACUCGACCUCAUGAAGUCNGAGUCGCUAGUAAUCGCAGAUCAGCAACGCUGCGGUGAAUACGUUCCCGGGCCUUGUACACACCGCCCGUCAAGUCAUGAAAGUCGGUAACACCCGAAGCCGGNGGCCUAACCCUUGUGGAAGGGAGCCGUC
rnacentral:rRNA from 1 species